rnacentral:tRNA from 1 species
UGGUAGAGUGUCAGCUUCCCAAGCUGAAUGUCGCGGGUUCGAGUCCCGUUAUCCGCUCCA